GCAUAACCCAAUGUGCAUGCUGAGGAGGCCUCACGCCAGUUUAGGCUCUCCAGUAUCUCCCACUGAGCUACUCUGUCCCCGACUUAGAGGACCAGGAGAAGGGGGAGCUGGAGGCUGGAGCCUGCCACACCGUGGCUCGUCUCACUCUGGAUGGUGGUGGCAACAGAGAUGGCAGUGUGGCUGGAGUUUUAGGAGGGCGGCCUGAGCCGUAGGAGGGGGCUGGAGCAGUAACAUGGCGGCCUGAGCGGUUUUUCUGGCAUUGUCUGCCCAGCUGCUCCAAGCCAGGCUGAUGAAGGAGGAGUCCCCUGUGGUGAGCUGGAGGUUGUAGCCUGAAGAUGGCACAGCUCUGUGAUUCAUCUCCUGCGGUUGUGGCGGCCACGGUGAUGGAGACUGCAGCUCAACAGGAGUGAGAAAUGGAAUCAUCGUAUCGCUGAUCUAUGUAAACAAACUGAAGAAUUGUCUGAAAGAAAAUAUGACAUGAACUUAUGAAUUCAACAGGUGAAGAUUUACAACUUGAUAAAUCAACUGUCAGCUCGAGCUGUAAAAGCCAAAGGUCCGGUGAUGAUCCCAUACCCUUUUUUCCAGUCUCAUGUUGAAGAUUUUUAUGUAGAAGGCCUUCCCAAAGGAAUUUUUUUUUUUUUUUUUUUUGAGAUGGAGUUUUCACUCUUAUCGCCCAGGCUGGGGUGCAAUGGCGCAACCUUGCUGGUCACUGCAACCUCUGCCUCCUGGGUUCAAGAAAUUCUCCUGCCUUAGCCUCCCAAGUCACUGGGAUUACAGGUGCCCACCACCAUACCAGGCUAAUUUUUGUAUUUUUAGUGGAGAUGCGGUUUCACCAUGUUGGCCGGGCCAGUCUCAAACUCCUGACGUCAAGUGAUCUUCCCGCCUCGACUCCUGAUAUCAAGUGAUCUUCCCGCCUCGGCCUCCCAGAGUGCUGAGAUUACAGACGUGAACCCAUGCCUGGCCAGGAAUUUUGUUUUUUAGGAAGGCUUUCUACUAAUGGAAUUCCUGGCCUUGAGAGGAUGUUACUUUAGAAGGAAAGGAUUUUUUUGUUAUUAAAAGAGCCACCUAAGCUGAAGAUUCCCUUGAGAACAAGUACUGUCCCUGGUUUCCCAGUGCUGGAAUAUAGAAAAUGGAUGGACAACUGGACCUACCAUGAAAGACUUCUGAAUCCAGGAAGAGAAACUGACUGGGCAACAUGUUAUUCAGAUGGGGUCUUCUUUUGUUGCCCAGGCUGGCCACAAAUUCCUGGGCUCAAGUGAUCCUCCCACCUCGUCCUUGUAGAGAUGAGAUUUAGUUACGUCGUCCAGGCUGAUCUCAAACUCCUGGGCUAAAUCGAUUGUCUCACCUCAGCCUCUCAAGUAUGUUAUGAAGGUUAUAUGUUAGGAAGGGUCCCAGGAGGUAGACCCACACAGAUGGGAUUUGGGCAUAGGUUUGGUUUCCCAGGGGGCAGUGCUGAGCUCUUUGCCAGUGGGAAAUGGGAUGCUGGUGAUUUCCAGUAGGUGACCUCACAGUGACUCAAGCUACCACUUACUGUUGAUUGUGACGAAAUGCCAGCUGAGGCACAUGCCUUGGGAGCUAAGUGGUUGCUGCCCUUGACCACUGUGAAGACUGGUGUGGGAAGGGUCGUUUUGGAUGCACUUGAGCAGGGGUCCCCAACCCCUGAGCCAUGGAGCCGCAAGGAGCCACACAGCAGGAGGUGGGACCAUCCAGUUGCAGGAAAACAAGCUUAACACGCCCACUAAUUCUACAUUAUGCUCCUACCUCCCGGCAGCCUCUCCAGGCCCAGAACUUUCUCCAGUCAGCCUCUACAGACCAAGCUCAUGACUCACAAUGGCCUAUUUAGGCCCAUACCCUACGUCACGGCAGCCUCCGCAGAUGAGGCUACUGCCUCACAACAGCCUCCACAGGCACAGCUCCAUCGUUACAAUGGCCUCUUUAGACCCAGCUCCUGCCUCCCAGCCUUCUCUCCAGGCCCUGAACUUUCUCAAGUCGACCUCACCAGGCCCAGCUCAUGCUUCUUUGCAGCCUCUCCAGGCCCAGCUCCUGCAUCUUGGUGGCCCCUCCAGGCCCAGCCUCUGCCUCCCGUCAGCCUCUACAGUCCCAACGUCUGCCUCACAGCAGAUUCUUCACGCCCAGCAUCUACCUCACUGUGGACCCCCCAAGCCAAGCUCCCAACCUUUCAGCAGCUUCUACACACCCAGCUCCUGCCACCCAGUGGCCUCUUUAGGCCAAGCUCAUGCUUCACAAGGGCCUUUCCAGGCCCAACUUUUGUCUCAUGGCAACCUUCCCUGGCCAGAUUCCUGCCUGUCUCCCAGCAGCCUAGACAGGCCCAGGUCUUGCCUCACACUGGCCUCUCUACAUCCAGCUUAUGCCUCACGGUGGCCUCUCCAGGCCCAACUCCUGUCCCAGGACGUCAUCUCCGGGCCCAAAACUUACUCAAGUUAGACUCUCUAGUCCCAACUGCUGCCUCCUGGUGGCCUAUGAAGGCCCAAAAUCUCCUCAAGUUGACCUGUCCAGGCCCAGCUCCUGCCUCCUGUCAGCGUCUACAGGCCCAACCUCUGCCUCAUGGGGGCUUCUCCAGGCCCACCUCUUCCUCUUGGCUGGGUCUACAGGCACAACUGCUGCCUCACAACAGCCUUUUUUGGCCCAGUUCCUGUCCAGCUCAUGGCGGCCAAUGUAGGCCCAAAACUUCCUCAAGUCAAACUCUCCAGGCCCACCUUCUGCUUCCCGGUGGCAUCAACAGGCCCAGCUUUGACUUGAGAACAGCCUCUGCAGGCCCUGCUCUUGCCUCCCAGGGGCUUUUUCCAGGCCCAGCUCUUGCCUCAUGGCAGCUGCCCCAGGCCAAAUUUCUGCCUGCCUGCCAGCAGCCUCAACAGGCACAGCUCCUCCCUCACAGUGGCCCAUUUAGGCCCAACUCAUGACUGUGAGGCCAUUUCCAGGCCUAGUGCCUGCCUCGUGGCUGACUCUUGAAGCCCAAAACUUCCUCAAAUCAGGCUUUUGCCCAACUUCUGUCUACUGUCGGACUCUACAGGUCAGCCUCUGCCUCACAGUGGACCCUCCAGACCCAGAUGGUGUCUCACUGUGGCAUCCUCAGGCGAAGCUCCUGCCUUUCGGCAGCCUCUCCAGGCCCAGCUCCUCCUGCCUCCCAGUGGCCUCUUUCGGCCCAGCCC
rnacentral:lncRNA from 1 species